rfam:Clostridium sp. CAG:217 genomic scaffold, scf78
AAUACUUUUCGGGGCAGGGUGCAAAUCCCUACCGGCAGUGAAAGUCUGCGAACCCGGCAACGGGCCGAGCCUGUGGAAUUCAGGCACCGACGGUGAGCAAGGUAUUCCCUUGUAAGUCCGGAUGAGAGGAAAGGUAC